AAGGGUGCGUAACGCGUGAGCAACAUGCCCGUAUCUGGGAGAUAAGCAUUGGAAACGAUGUCUAAUACCCCAUAAUAAUUGGUUUCACAUGGGAUUAAUUUGAAAGAUACGUCGGAUACGGAUUGGCUCGCGUGACAUUAGCUAGUCGGCGGGGUAACGGCCCACCGAGGCGACGAUGUCUAGGGGUUCUGAGAGGAAGGUCCCCCACACUGGAACUGAGACACGGUCCAGACUCCUACGGGAGGCAGCAGUGAGGAAUAUUGGUCAAUGGGCGGAAGCCUGAACCAGCCAUGCCGCGUGAAGGAAUAAGGCCCUAUGGGUCGUAAACUUCUUUUGUGGUGGAGCAAUAAGUGUUACGUGUAACGCGAUGAGAGUACAUCACGAAUAAGCAUCGGCUAACUCCGUGCCAGCAGCCGCGGUAAUACGGAGGAUGCAAACGUUAUCCGGAUUUAUUGGGUUUAAAGGGUGCGUAGGCUGUUGUGCAAGUCAGGGGUGAAAGCCCGGAGCCCAACUCCGGAACUGCCCUUGAUACUGCAUGGCUGGAGUUCGGAUGCCGUGGGAGGAAUGAGUAGUGUAGCGGUGAAAUGCAUAGAUAUUACUCAGAACACCGAUUGCGAAGGCAUCUCACGAAUCCGACACUGACGCUGAGGCACGAAAGCGUGGGGAUCAAACAGGAUUAGAUACCCUGGUAGUCCACGCAGUAAACGAUGAUAACUAACUGUCGGCGAUAAACAGUCGGUGGCCAAGCGAAAGCGAUAAGUUAUCCACCUGGGGAGUACGUUCGCAAGAAUGAAACUCAAAGGAAUUGACGGGGGCCCGCACAAGCGGAGGAACAUGUGGUUUAAUUCGAUGAUACGCGAGGAACCUUACCCGGGCUCGAACGGCUAGUGAACGACUCAGAGAUGAGAAGUCUC
rnacentral:rRNA from 1 species